rnacentral:rRNA from 1 species
GACGAACGCUGGCGGCGUGCCUAAUACAUGCAAGUCGAACGCUGAAGGAGGAGCUUGCUUCUCUGGAUGAGUUGCGAACGGGUGAGUAACGCGUAGGUAACCUGCCUGGUAGCGGGGGAUAACUAUUGGAAACGAUAGCUAAUACCGCAUAAGAGUAGAUGUCGCAUGACAUUUGCUUAAAAGUUGCAAUUGCAUCACUACCAGAUGGACCUGCGUUGUAUUAGCUAGUUGGUGAGGUAACGGCUCACCAAGGCAACGAUACAUAGCCGACCUGAGAGGGGGAUCGGCCACACUGGGACUGAGACACGGCCCAGACGCCUACGGGAGGGAGCAGGAGGGAAUCGUCGGCAAUGGACGGAAGUCUGACCGAGAAACGCCGAGUGAGGGAAGAAGGUUGUCGGAUCGUAAAGCUCGGUUGUAAGAGAAGAACGAGUGUGAGAGUGGAAAGUUCACACUGUGACGGUAUCUUACCAGAAAGGGACGGCUAACUACGUG